rnacentral:lncRNA from 1 species
AUGGUAUAUGUUUCAUAAACAUAUGAACUCAAUUUCUAAGCAUUCAUCGUGCUUUCUACGUCUACGACGAAUCAAAUACUAAAGCAAUCCAUAUAUCAAUAAUCAUAAUCCAUUAAAAAGCUAUCUACGAAAUAACUACGCAUGGAUCAAGAAUAUAUCAGGAAAUAUAAGUCAUUCAAAGCAAAAGUUUAGAGUUUACUUCAAAGAGC